rnacentral:rRNA from 1 species
UACAGAGGUCUCAAGCGUUGUUCGGAUUCAUUGGGCGUAAAGGGUGCGUAGGCGGCGCGGUAAGUCGGGUGUGAAAUCUCGGAGCUUAACUCCGAAACUGCAUUCGAUACUGCCGUGCUUGAGGACUGGAGAGGAGACUGGAAUUUACGGUGUAGCGGUGAAAUGCGUUGAUAUCCUAAGGAACACCGGUGGCGAAAGCGGCUCACUGGAUCUCUUCUGACGCUGAGGCACGAAAGCUAGGGUAGCGAACGGG